rnacentral:rRNA from 1 species
GAGUUUGAUCGUGGCUCAGAUUGAACGCUGGCGGCAUGCCUUACACAUGCAAGUCGAACGGCAGCAUGAUCUAGCUUGCUAGAUUGAUGGCGAGUGGCGAACGGGUGAGUAAUACAUCGGAACGUGCCCUGUAGUGGGGGAUAACUAGUCGAAAGAUUAGCUAAUACCGCAUACGACCUGAGGGUGAAAGUGGGGACCGCAAGGCCUCAUGCUAUAGGAGCGGCCGAUGUCUGAUUAGCUAGUUGGUGGGUAAAGGCCACCAAGGCGACGAUCAGUAGCUGGUCUGAGAGGACGAUCAGCCACACUGGGACUGAGACACGCCCAGACUCUACGGAGGCAGCGGUGGGGAAUUU